UCAAGGCCCGCCUCCUUCAAGGUCCUGACUGGUUCACGGCAAAUGUGGGUCGGGGCCUAAGGGAAGGCAUUGAGGUUUGAAGGCUGCGAGCUGCCCGGAGAGAAGCAGGAGGUGUCCCAGGGGGAGGGGCCCAGGCCUGACAUGGGUCCUGCUGGGGGCCACGGCCAAGGCCGCCCCCGUGCCCAGUUUGGCCAGCACAAGGCACCUGCUGAUCCAAGGAAAGGAGGGGUCUGAGCAUAAAGCCGGUUCUCCUUCUCCAGGGACUUCAGAACGCUGGUGGCUGUGCUGACCCGGGAGGUGGGCUGCCAGUGCCCUGGACUGCAAGGCCGCAUCCAUGGGAAGGAGUCUACUGUGUGAGCAGGUUGAGUGAAUGCUCCCCGAGGCCUUCAGUACUCUCUGCUCCCCUCAGCCUGUGGUAGGUGGCUCCCAGCACCCAGAGCUUCUCUUUGGCACACCCCUACCCACACUAUUUGUUGUCUGUGCCUACAGGCUGUAACUAGAACUGUGUCUCACUCAUCUCUGUAUAGUCCCUGUGCCUGGCUGGUUUAGGCUUUCAGUAACUGGAUGGAUAGAUGGAUGGAUGAAGGAAUGCCCCAAGGAACAGAAAGCUGAAGUAACUACCCUGUCCCAGCAUUGCCUCUUCUCGUUGCUCCCAUGUUCAUGUCUGCUGCAUCCCAAGGGACUGGUUAGUUGUGUGGGUCUGUGAUUGUCAGGUGGGAGACCACUGCCCUCCUGAGCUGGCCCUGGACCAGAACCACACAGCAGCUGACCUCCUGGCCCAGGCUGUGCAUGAACAGCCUGGGGCACCUGCCCUGCUCACUCAC